rnacentral:rRNA from 1 species
UGGGGGAUAUUGCGCAAUGGGGGAAACCCUGACGCAGCAACGCCGCGUGAAGGAAGAAGGUUUUCGGAUCGUAAACUUCUGUUCUUAGGGAAGAAGAAAGUGACGGUACCUAAGGAGCAAGCCACGGCUAACUACGUGCCAGCAGCCGCGGUAAUACGUAGGUGGCAAGCGUUGUCCGGAUUUACUGGGUGUAAAGGGCGCGUAGGCGGGAUAUCAAGUCAGUCGUGAAAUACCGGGGCUCAACUCCGGGGCUGCGAUUGAAACUGAUAUUCUUGAGUAUCGGAGAGGAAAGCGGAAUUCCUAGUGUAGCGGUGAAAUGCGUAGAUAUUAGGAGGAACACCAGUGGCGAAGGCGGCUUUCUGGACGACAACUGACGCUGAGGCGCGAAAGUGUGGGGAGCAAACAGGAUUAGAUACCC